rnacentral:rRNA from 1 species
GAUGAACGCUGGCGGCGUGCCUAAUACAUGCAAGUCGAGCGAACGGACGAGAAGCUUGCUUCUCUGAUGUUAGCGGCGGACGGGUGAGUAACACGUGGAUAACCUACCUAUCAGACUGGGAUAACUUCGGGAAACCGGAGCUAAUACCGGAUAAUAUUUUGAACCGCAUGGUUCAAAAGUGAAAGACGGUCUUGCUGUCACUUAUAGAUGGAUCCGCGCUGCAUUAGCUAGUUGGUAAGGUAACGGCUUACCAAGGCAACGAUGCAUAGCCGACCUGAGAGGGUGAUCGGCCACACUGGAACUGAGACACGGUCCAGACUCCUACGGGAGGCAGCAGUAGGGAAUCUUCCGCAAUGGGCGAAAGCCUGACGGAGCAACGCCGCGUGAGUGAUGAAGGUCUUCGGAUCGUAAAACUCUGUUAUUAGGGAAGAACAGAUGUGUAAGUAACUGUGCACAUCUUGACGGUACCUAAUCAGAAAGCCACGGCUAACUACGUG